GCAAGUCGAACGGAAAGGCCCUGCUUGCAGGGUACUCGAGUGGCGAACGGGUGAGUAACACGUGGGUGAUCUGCCCUGCACUUCGGGAUAAGCCUGGGAAACUGGGUCUAAUACCGGAUAGGAGCCAUUUUUAGUGUGAUGGUUGGAAAGUUUUUUCGGUGUAGGAUGAGCUCGCGGCCUAUCAGCUUGUUGGUGGGGUAAUGGCCUACCAAGGCGGCGACGGGUAGCCGGCCUGGGAGGGUGGACGGCCACAUUGGGACUGAGAUACGGCCCAGACUCCUACGGGAGGCAGCAGUGGGGAAUAUUGCACAAUGGGCGCAAGCCUGAUGCAGCGACGCCGCGUGGGGGAUGACGGCCUUCGGGUUGCAAACUCCUUUCGCUAGGGACGAAGCUUUUUGUGACGGUACCUAGAUAAGAAGCACCGGCUAACUACGUGCCAGCAGCCGCGGUAAUACGUAGGGUGCGAGCGUUGUCCGGAAUUACUGGGCGUAAAGGGCUCGUAGGUGGUUUGUCGCGUCGUCUGUGAAAUUCCGGGGCUUAACUCCGGGCGUGCAGGCGAUACGGGCAUAACUUGAGUACUGUAGGGGUAACUGGAAUUCCUGGUGUAGCGGUGAAAUGCGCAGAUAUCAGGAGGAACACCGAUGGCGAAGGCAGGUUACUGGGC
rnacentral:rRNA from 1 species